rnacentral:rRNA from 1 species
GGGGGGGCAGAGGGUUGGGGGGGAAUACAGAGCAGGGGGGGAGAAAGGAAUUCCUGGUGUAGCGGUGAAAUGCGCAGAUAUCAGGAGGAACACCGAUGGCGAAGGCAGGUCUCUGGGCUGUUACUGACGCUGAGGAGCGAAAGCAUGGGGAGCGAACAGGAUUAGAUACCCUGGUAGUCCAUGCCGUAAACGUUGGGCACUAGGUGUGGGGGACAUUCCACGUCCUCCGCGCCGUAGCUAACGCAUUAAGUGCCCCGCCUGGGGAGUACGGCCGCAAGGCUAAAACUCAAAGGAAUUGACGGGGGCCCGCACAAGCGGCGGAGCAUGCGGAUUAAUUCGAUGCAACGCGAAGAACCUUACCAAGGCUUGACAUCCACCGGACCGCACUGGAGACAGUGCUUCCCUUCGGGGCUGGUGGACAGGUGGUGCAUGGUUGUCGUCAGCUCGUGUCGUGAGAUGUUGGGUUAAGUCCCGCAACGAGCGCAACCCUCGUUCUAUGUUGCCAGCACGUGAUGGUGGGGACUCAUAGGAGACUGCCGGGGUCAACUCGGAGGAAGGUGGGGAUGACGUCAAAUCAUCAUGCCCCUUAUGUCUUGGGCUUCACGCAUGCUACAAUGGCCGGUACAAAGGGUUGCGAUACUGUGAGGUGGAGCUAAUCCCAAAAAGCCGGUCUCAGUUCGGAUUGAGGUCUGCAACUCGACCUCAUGAAGUCGGAGUCGCUAGUAAUCGCAGAUCAGCAACGCUGCGGUGAAUACGUUCCCGGGCCUUGUACACACCGCCCGUCAAGUCACGAAAGUUGUAACACCCGAAGCCGGUGGCCUAACCCCUUGUGGGAGGGAGCCGUCGAAGUGGGACCG